AAAAAUUACUGAUGCAAAAAGUUGUACAAAUGAGGAAAUACAUGUUGGCUCAACAUAAUGGUUGUGUCAAAAAAGAAAAAUAUGUUUGGUCAAUGAUUGCAUGAUUUCCAUGAUUGUACUACAAAAUGUUCAUCAAGAGAAAAUAAAUAAUUAUGUUGAGAUAACUUUUAACGUUGCACAAAAAAUAUUAUGUUGGCCGAGCAAGAGAGAACAGCGUCAAUCGUCUGAGCAUGCGCAAAGGAGUUCUACCAGGCAGCGCUGCAGCAGGCUGGAGUCACGACAUUGCAUUGGUGAGUACUUUGUGCUGCGAGUUAAUGAGCAAAUUUAGGUUAAUAAUAUAUAGAUUGUCUAUCAACAAAGUUUGAAAUAGCUUUAUUGUGAGUACCUACAGUGAUUAGCAGUGCUGGAAAAUAACGUUUAACUCAUAAAGCUUAGCAUUCCUUUCCAACUGGCAUGUGAUUUAAAGUCGACCCUAACGGUUAUUAAGCAUGACAUGUUCCCGUUUAAUAUAUUUAAUGGUCAAUAUUUUCAAAUUGACUGUAACAGACAGCUAGUCUUGACAACUUGUGCUAUUGCUAUCACAGAGUGACUGAUAAUUUAGGCUAACGUUAGUUCUAACUGUUAGUGGCAUUCAAAGCACAUGUGCCUUUGUGUUAGCAGCUAGUACUUUGCACAAAGCCUCAAUUUGCAAGAGUGAAAUAACAUUUCAGUCUGAUAAAAAUAAAUAAAGAGUUGUGCUAACACGAAAAUUAAUAGCUGCUAAUGUUAUCAGAUUUGUAAGCUGUUUAACGUUAUCAGUUUUCCAAACGGUUACAUGUUUCCGUUUAAUAUUUUUAAUGGUCAAUAUUUUAAAAUUCCAUUUGCAUUUUGGCUUAUGAUAUAUAUGAUAAUUGAUUGUAACAGACAGCUAGUCUUGACAACUUGUGCUUUUGCUAUCACAGAGUGACUGAUAAUUUAGGCUAAGAAAUAAUUUGCUUUGCUUUUAAUUGUUUGCUUCUGAAUCUUUCAUUACCCACGGGUUUGUGCUGAAUUCUUCCGCAUCUACCGUAUUGACCUGAAGUCAGCAUUCCUGGCAUCGCUGGACAAUCACACCCAGGGGUACUUGGGUUUUAAAAGCAUGGGUCAACUUCUCCGAAGCAAGUUGGAACAUCUUGUCUGGAUCAUACAGAACAUACUACAGCCGUGUCUUGCAUUUUAUUCACCUUUGUUGUUUUUUUCUGAUUUUAAGUAUAAUAAAGACAUAACAGUGUAACAGUGUUCACCAGGUGUUGAUUGGAAAAAAUGGCUGAACUCUUUGAUGUUUUUCUGUUUUAUGAAAUCUUUGUUUAACAUUAAACUCUCACAAUUCAUGUGCA